rnacentral:rRNA from 1 species
AUGCUCGCACUUUCCAUAUGGAGCUGGGAGCGUUUGCCGGUUGGACGACCGAAGAUCAUGAAGUACGAGGAUUGAGACAACAAACAUGACCCACUACGGCACCCCACUUGGGCUUACCUGUGGGAUGUGUUAAAUGAGACGACGGAUGAUCCGUCAGUCAUGUACAAGUUGUACAAGAGCGAGCUGGACGAGAUCACUCCUGAGCAGGUGAAUCGACAUUGCAUAAGUGAUUAUCAUGCUUCUAUUGUAACUCAAUAUUAA